rnacentral:lncRNA from 1 species
CCCAGGUAUCUCAGCAGAACCAAUCCCCCGAUGCCGUGAACUAGGACAAAAUUCAUUCAUAGUAUGUUUCGACAUUUUGUUUCAGUUGCAGACCAACAUUAGUCUUUACAAUCCUGAAAAGAAAAGGCCCGCGCAACAUAUUCUUAGAAAUAGUGAAGCACAAUGUGCAGAGUCAUUCCUGUGGAGCUGCCUUCUAAAAAUGCAUUAUUAGAAUCUGCCUUUAUUCCAUGAAGAAGCAUCAUUAUUUCAAACAACUAGGCUAACGAAUAUUCAUGGUGUUCCUGAAAGUAGAGGAAGGGGUUAAUAGUUUUAAGUACAUGACAAAUCUGAAAGUUGCAUAUGAGGAACUCAUGCUGACCUUCCAAAUUGUGCUGAAUGCAAAGAGAGCUUUGCAUUCUGACCUUCCAAAUUGUGCUGAAUGCUGACCUGACUUGCUGCUAUCCUGAGGAGAAAAGAUAAGUGGCAAGAACAAUGAACUCCGUGCUAACAGUUAGGAUUUGGAGCAUAAUUACAGCGAGAUUAGCAAGGAUACCAUUAAAGAAGAUUGGAUAAAUCAAAAAACAAAUCAAGCACAUCCCCUGUAGAACACUUACAAGCACUAGAUUUAGAGAAAAGGGAGAAAGAAAAUGACGUCUAAUAUAUCCUCUCGAGGGGACAUUGUUCCGGUGCACGCAAAUAACCCCGAGAGGACGAAACACUGUUGUAAUGAGCGUAAAUAAUGUUUCACCGGUGAGAAGCAUGAACUGAAAAAUGUUGGGAUUACAGGGAAAACAAAAGCAUUUCGUUGAUGACCUUUCAGGCUUCACGUCGAUAGCAAGGCAUUGCCCAGCUCCUUUGAUUGUCGCAGACAGCAGAGAGGCCCUUGUACGAAACCCACAUACCCAGCAACCCGCCAAUUCAUGAAGGAACCAACAAAUAAUUUUUACACAUGUGUUUCAGUGUAGCUAUAUGUAUUAGGAAAGAACAUUCUGAAAUUUGGAUGUGGACUACUAUGUACGGUUUCUGGGCAUGUCAAGUAUAGUCUAGCCCGUGUUGGGUAGAAUUGUAAGUUAGGGAUUAUACAUUUAUUGUCUCAUAGGUCGCAGACUCACAGGUUUGGCAUUUUCAUACUGCUACAAGUUCUACUAUUUUCGUACACCAUUAUAUAUGUACUAGAAUGAAAGUAAUACACGACCUCUGUUAUGAACAUACGUGCACAUCCGUGUCAAAUAUUGAUGAGUAUCUAAUAUUGAUGAUAUACAUGGUGCCCAUAAACUGUAGUACAUGCUUGCUGACGAGUAUUGAGUGCAAACAGAGCAUCUCAUUAUCUCAUACAGUCACAUAAACAUGUAGCUAGCCAAAUAUCCGUACAGAUAUGUGAAACUAUAGCCAAUAAAUAAUGUACCUAUAUAACUAUAUUAUGAUGAUUGUUUGGGACCUUUUCCUUUCCUGAAUAUGCAGGUUAUAGAAACUCAUUUUCUGAUAUCGUAAAGCUCAUCUUCAGGUUCAUUACAGGUGCCAACUGGUUACAAUAAUCUCCAUUGUGGACAGUGCUUUGGAAAUGGUGAUAGAUUUCUCUAGGGCUAUAAACUGGAUGCACUGCAAUUUGAACUGUUCGAGCUUUGUUACAGUCAAUGUUGAUGCGGCCUAAUUUUAUCAAAUAUAGAGAUAGAUUUCAGAGCAUGAAUAUGCUUAUAUUUCUAGAAGGAAAAUUGCACCUAUUAUAAAUAUCAAGGUGCUUCAUGCUAUGUAGUAGUAUGAGAUAAAUCCCUGAUUUUGAAAACCCUUGAUGUACGAUCACGAGAUGUCAAGAUGUGUGGUGCUCUGGCAGGAAUUAGUUCAAAUAUCAUAUUAUCUUAUCUUUUUAUGAAGAUAUCUAAACAUGAAAGAACUUAGGACUUCUAUGAAAUUGUAAUAUGUUAACAUCGUCUCAUAUAUUUCAUGAAGGGUGCGGCAGUUCAUCAUCGUGAUGGAAGGGUGUGGCUGCCGAUGACAAUUCCUCGCUUACUACCGCACAACGUGCAAAUCAACUAAAACUAUCCAUAAUCUAUUUCAAAAAUAGACGGGCGCGGCAACGCGCGCCAUCAUGAUCUAGUGUAAAUGAAGGUAAAGACAGCGUUCCUCACUUGUACGAAAAUAUCUUAACACAUCAAAUAGAUCUUAGUUUGCAAAAGUUAAUUAGCUGGAUCAUUGCUCUCUAUGUACACAUUGUUCUAUUUGAUUUCAAUUACUUCUCAAUUAUAUACUUCUCAACUAACUUGAGUGGGCCUAUCUUACUUACUGAUUUUUUGUUUUUUGAGUGGGCCUAGUUACUGACUGCAGGCUUGCCGCACUACCAGCCCAUCAUUAGAUAAAGUCUUGCAGGCUUGCAGCACCGAUAGAUAAUACGGCGAGCAACUAAGCGCUCCUUCGGAAGCCUCGUAACGAUCAGCGCCACUUGGCGCGCUCUCAGCCAUUGCCACGUGUCGCGCUCUGGGUGCUCCCUCCGGAUUUUAUUUUUUUAUUUUUUUGCACACGUUUUCGGCUUUUAAACAGUUUUUUUUCUGUUUUUUUUGACGUUUUGGUUUUCCACCGGUCUUCCCUAGCUUUUCGACAAAAAAAAUCGAAAUUAUUUUUUGCGCAAAAAACACAUUUUUUGCGCAAAAAACACAUUUUUUUUGUGAGAGGCAUGGUUUUGUUUUCGCGAGAGGCAUGGUUGUGCUUUCGCGAGAGGCCGUGCCUCUUGAAAAUGAAAAAAUAACGCGUUUUUUUUUCUUUCGCGAGAGGCACGAUUUUGCUUCCGCGAGAGGCACGGUUGUGCUUUCACGAGAGUCACGGCCUUGCCUCUUGGAAACGAAAAAAACACGUUUUCUAUUUUUUUUUCUUUUCGCAAGAGGCACGGUUUUACUUCCGCGAGAGGCACGAUUGUGCUUCCGCGAGAGUCACGGCCGUGCCUCCUCAGAAACAAAAAAAAAUGCGUUUUCUGUUUUUUUUCGCAAGAGGCACGGUUUUGCUUCCGCGAGAGGCACGGUUGUGAUUUCGUCAGAGGCACGGACGUGCCUCUUUCGAAAAGAGAAAAAACCCGUGCUCCUGGUUCGGUUUUUUCGUCCGGUUUUUUUCGCGAGAAAAAGUUCGUCAAAACCUAUCAACAUGGGAUCUAGUUUUGAAGAUCUCGACGCGAGGAAUCCAACGGCAAAAGCGGUUCGAGAUUUGGACGCACGGUUUAAGAGAUAAAACGUUUUGAAUAAACGGAUCUACGAAAAAAGAAAAACUUCCAGGUUGCGACAAGUGGCGCACAUGCAACACGCCACUUGUCGCAACCUGGAGAAGUUGGAAUAAUCUUCACAAGGAGUACUCCUUAACUAGUGAUUUCGGAUAAUAUGCCCCCUCCCUUCUCGCCCGUGGCCAGUUUGAUCCGUCCGCCUCCUCUAGUCUCCAUGAGACCAUGACGACCUAGGUCUCUCUCUUGUUAGAGCAUCUCCAGCCAUUGGCCCCCCAGGGGGCGCCUAAAAUCGCCGCCUGGGGGUGAGCCGGUGAAAAAAAAGGCCCGAGGGCGAGUUGGUCCGCAGUCGCCGGCCCCAUGGCCACCCCCAGAUGCGCAUAAUUUUUUCAAAAAAAAAGUUUGGCAAAGUUCGGUUAAACACAGCUAAAUUUCGGCAAACCUUGGCAUAUAUUGACAUGUUCGGCGAUACAUAGCAAAAUAUAACUAAAAAAAUAAAUCGCUGAACGCCGAGUAGUCGGGGUCGUCGCCGCCAUCCUCGCCGCCGUCGUCGGCGGCCUUCUCCUCCUUGAUGCGGUCGUCCCUGAUGGACCCCUGACCGGCGUCACCAACGCGGACUGGUGGCGGCGGCGCGUCGUCGUCGUCGCUGUCCUCGAUGACGACGACUCCUCCUUCGUCGCGGCCCCGGCGGCGCACUGGCGCUCCCUCGCCAUCUUCAGGGAGUCCUUGCGCGCCCAUUCCAAGGCCGCGUCGUCGUCGAGCUCCACGUCGUCGUGCUCCGUCUUCACGGCGGGGAGGCCCGGCUCCAUCUUCACCGGUGCUAGCCCCGACCCCGUCUUUGGCUUGACGAAGCGCGGAGGAGCCGACGAGGAGGCGCGCCGGCCGCCCUCGUUGAUGACGAUGCCGACGCUGCGAGUGCGCUGGCCGAGCGGCGUCUCCGCCGCGGGCUCGGCCUUGACGCCGAGCAGCGCCGGAGAGCCGGAGAAGUGCGAAGAAGCCCGUGAGGAGGAGUGCGAGGAGAACGACGAGGAGUCGAACCUCCUGGGCAUCCAUUGCCCGACGCGUCGGCGAUGGGCCGGGGCGGCCGUCCUCGCCGGGGGAGGGUAUGACAGCGGUGGGUUGUUGCCGCCCUCAAGGUGCGUCAGCACGCCCUCGAGCGUGCGGCCGGGGACGCCCCACCACAGAUGGCGCCCCUCGCUGUUCUUCGUGCCACCCACCACCUGCGCCCCGUAGGUGGACUUCAGCCUCUGCUGUUGACGACGCUCGAAGUACGCCGCCCACGCCGCGUGGUUGUCGGCGGCGUACUGGGGGAGGGCGUGCUGCUCGUCGUUGAGGGAGGCACCCACGAUCUCAACCUCGUCAGCGAAGUAGCCAGGGCGCGCCACGACGUCGGGCAACGGGGGAAUGGCACUCCCCCGUUGCUGAGCCUCCAUCCCGUCGGCCCGGCGCGCAUGUCCGAUGGCGCCGGGAUGUUGGCCUCGAACAGGAGCCAUGACUCCUGUUCGCGCAGCGAGCGGCGACCGAAACCGUUGGCCGCUGCCUCAUUGCCGGGGAAACGCUUGACCAUCGGGGCAGGGGGGGAGGGAGAGGGAGGGCUCGGAGGCGGCGCACGGGAGAGGGAGAGGGAGGGCUCGGCGGCGGCGCACAAGAGGGAGGGCUCGGCGGCUAGGGCUUGGUGUGGCUGGAGGGAGGCCACCGGCUUAUAUAGUCGCGCCCGUGUGUACACCGCGCCCGUGUGUACACCGCCCGCAGGAGGGGAGGCGUCGGCGCGCCGCCCCGUGACGCGCUGCCCGAGGAAUCAAUGGCAAGGCUGACCGUCGGUGGCAGCCUUGGCAUUGAUUCCCGCGGGAACCGAGGCGAUGAGGGCGACGAAGCCCCCGUGUCACUGACUCGGCGGGCCCGCGGCUCUUUCGCGCCAAAAACGAUUCGCCCGGCGCCCCGGACGCCCCCUAGCGCGUCGGGUUCGGGCUGGGUCCGCCGGCGAUGAUUUCGGCCCAGGCCGGCGAAAAUCGAGCUCCUGAGAACGCGACUAGGCGGCCGUCUUUUCGGCGCCGGCGCGAAAAAAUCGCCGAGAAGGCCUUUCUGGGGGCGUGGCUGGAGAUGCUCUUACUCAAAAAAAGAAAUAAAACCUAGGUCUCUCUUCUCUCCUCGAUCGACCGCGGACGGUCCCCUUCGCAAUUCUCAGUUACGCCCUUGUUUUUUUGUUUUUUGGCUGAGAAUUGAGAUAUCAGGUAAUUUAGACGUCGACUUCAUCGAUUAAUCCUUACAAAUCUUGACGCAUUAUGAAUUCCUUGUUCAAUAGACUAGGCAGUUCUUUUUUAAAUUGUCUAUUUUGAGAGUUGGCUCGCUCUUGUGUUUUGCUGACGCUCAGCCACGUAUGCAGAUCAUGGAGGGCCAGCCCAUGGUGAGCUAUUCGGCAGGAUCAGUGAACUCUGUUGUCUACAAGCUCACCAAGCUAAAGGAUUGCGCCCUUGUAAUUGAAGGGUUACAAAAGGAUCUUAUGAUUCUUUUGGAGAGUUUCAGCCAAGUGGCUGUGUUGCCAAGUAAGAUGAAUUGGCAAGUCCAAGUGUGGAUGAAAAUUGUGAGGGAGUUGGUCUUCGACAUCGAGGACUGGAUCGAUCAGGUGCCGGCGAUGCCAAACACAGGGGGCCAACUACUGGAUUUAGAAGAUGAAGUGAAAAGAUUCAAGGCCCGGAUCGAGCACGCGCGUGAGCUCUGUGAAAGAUACGGUCUUGUUAUUGAAGUGCCGUCUGAACUUCGUGAUCCUGCUUCUUUACCCGGCCACGCCCAAGUUACAGUUGAUUCACAUAUACUUUUCGAGGAGAAAACUGCCCUUGUCGGGAUGGAAGUUCCAAUGGAUGAGCUUGUCAAGCAUCUCACUGGUGAGCAUGAGAAGAGGCGGAAGGUGGUUUCCAUCCUCGGGGUGGAAGGCCUUGGUAAGACUACUCUUGUCAAGGAGGUUUAUUCAAAGAUUCAAGGGAACUUUGAGUGCCGAGCUUUUGUUACUCUUGGCCGGAGACCAUCCAUUACGGAGACUGUGCAGGAAAUACUUUGUCAAGUAAACCCCUCUGCAGAAAAGAAAAUAAACCUGAAGAUUGAUCCUAGGCGUGGAAGGGGCGCAGCCCAGGAUCUGAAAAAACUCCUCACUGAGCUUUGGAAGUACCUCGCCACAAAGAGGUACUGCCUUGCAGUUUAAUUACCUCUUCCUUAUCUAGGUUUCUUGACUUGACGUGUUUUAUUUAGUAGGAAGUUGAAAUUUCAGGAAAUAAACCAUGUACCCAGCCCAGAAUACAUCUUGAGGAAAGCACUCGUAAUGGUAGAUAUGUUUUGUUCAACGUAGUAUGUACUUCUUAGGCAUCUGAACUUUUAUAUAUUAAACUUCAUUUGGGAAGAGAAUCAACUAGUUAGAGGGGUGGUUGUACACCCAGCCUACCAAGGAUCGAAUUCCAGGUGGCAAUACUUGGGUGUUCUUUUGUUACAAAGUAGUCAAAUUCACUUAGAUCUUCUCAUCUUAGGUUGUGCUUGGUUUUUGUCCAAGGCUGCCAUACCAAAAGAUUGAUUAUCCAAACUUUGGUAAAGGAUUUUCUUGCCUAUGGAUUGGCCAACAUUGGCUAAAAGAAUGAGCUAGAGUUGGCAAAAGAGCAUUGCCAUGCCAAAAAUUUGGCCCUCGGUCCACCCGAAGAUUUAGUUUUUUUUUAUUAAUGUAUCUAUACUGCUUUUUUGGUCAAAUCAACAGCAUAUGUCUGAUGCUGAUUUUUUUUAGGUGGCACACCCUAAUGUCCCUGGCUCUAGUAUGACCUCAUCUAAAAAAAGAUCAAUGUUUUGAUCAUGGUCGAGAGCCGAAAAAUUGACAGGGUACACUUUGGUCACAAACCAAAUAUACCCUUAAUCCAAUAUUCGACAACCCUCUCAUUUUCUUCGUAGUAGGAAAAUUGUUUUGGGAUAGAAAUUUCUCGACAUCAGCCAAUAGAUGGUGUAUGUUUUCUGUUUCAUGGUUAUCGUGGAAGUUUCUAAGGGAAUCUGCAAUAGAAAUCGAUACAUGCAUACAUAAAUCAAUUUCAUGUAAAAAAAGUUACAUAAAUCAAUUUGAAAACCAAAACGGUAACUGGUAGCUGCUCGGUCGGUGUUGAGUAGCGAUUAACAGUGAAUCGUCCGAUAUUUGUAACUUUGCGAAUUUCUAUGUAUGUGAAGUUGUAUAUUUAUCUUACUUUUUGAAUUGUCAUAGUAGCUUAUACUGAUUUGUCAUUUAAUAUGUCAGGUAUUUCAUCUUAGUGGAUGGCUUAUGGAGCACACAGGCUUGGAAAAUUAUCAAUUCUGCUUUGCCCAACGAGAAUAAUGGAAGCAGGGUAUUGACAACAACAUGCAUCAGUGCUGUUGCUCAACAUUGUUCUGUACGUCCAAUGGAUAUCUAUCGGAUUGAGCCACUUAACGAGGAGAUGUCUGCAAGAUUAUACCUAAAAUUAACUCGGCAAAAAGAAUGGCCGGCUGAUCAUGCUGAAGUAACCAAAAACAUGUUUAAAAUGUGUGGUGGCAUGCCAUUGGCCCUAGUUCUUGCAGCUGGCUUAUUAGCAGCAAAAUGCAAAGAACUACCAGAGCCUGAGAUAUCUGUUGUUUCAUCAGUGGAGCAAUAUUCCAAAUCAGAUGGGAUUAUGAAGACACUGCAGAUGAGUUAUGAUGCUUUGUCUUUGCCUCUGAGGUCUUGCUUGUUGUACCUAAGUGUCUUUCGAGGAGGUUGCACCAUCAAGAAGGACCGUCUGAUACGAUUAUGGAUUGCUGAAAGACUUAUCCGUCGAAAAGAUGAUGAAAGAAGAGCUCAAGAAAUAAGACGUGAUGGAGGAGAAGAAACGAGAGUUGAAGGAGGUGAAAUCAUAGGAUAUGAAGAAAAUGGAGGUAAAGAAACAGGAGACGAAAAAAGCUUGUGGGAGACAGGGCAGCUCUACUUCAAAGAGCUCAUCAUCAGGAGACUGAUUCAGCCUGUGUUCAACUACAAUGAUGACCAGCCAGAGGGUUGCACCGUUCACGGUGUAAUUCUUGAUUUCAUCAAUUCUUUGUCGAGCAAAGGUAACUUUGUUACAGUUGGUGGUGCUCAUUUGAGCACAGACACGGUUCGGCGAUUCUCGCUGGACUGCUUUAACAACAAUGACGAAGACAGAGAUGCCACCUUGGCAUCAUUUGCUAUACACUUAUCUAGAGUGCGAUCGGGGGAGCCCUCAUCUCUCAUCGAGUAUGUAUGCACUAUGGGAAUACAACCAUUUAUUGCACCUUUGUUGUGCAAACCAGCUACCUUAACCGUUUUUACAACGUGAGGGAAAAAAACAGGCAAUUGUUUCCAUGAGUGCACGUCAGAGAUGAGGGCUCUGAAGAAUGUUCCAUCUUAAAACCAAUAACUGAAAGCAAUAUUCAGUACGUAGUACCAGUAUACAAAUAGUUUUUCCAAUGAUGCUGGAUUAAUCAACAAGCAAGAGAAUAUGUCCUCUCUCUUAAUUUAUAGAACAACCUGAACAGUAAGCUAUAAUAUCCUCAAGUCACGACUAACACGCACGCACUGAGCUAUCAUAAAUUCAGGACCUCCUUGUGCAAUUUUUCGAUCGUUUUUGCAUGUGUCUGGCUUUGUGUUAAUUUAAUCAAGAGAAAUUUUGAUUUGGUUCAUCAACCAACAUCAGGGGAAACACAACAAAUCAUGCAUGUGAUGCAUCAGAGUUCGCUCAUAGGUGCAUCAUGCGUGAACUGAAAAACUUCUAAGCAUGGAUAAUAAAUGAUAAAACACUUUUUUUUUGUGGGAAAAAUGAUAAAACACUUGAAUUCCAACGAGAGAGGAAGAAGGCUUGAGAGGGUGGCAGUGUAGUUACCUGUCCGAAAGCCAUCUGAGAUUAUGAACUGGUGAGCAAGAAAAUCCACAGCACAAAGCUCCAGAAUCUGCCCAAAUCAAUCCACCAGACGUACCAUAGCAAUGUUCCUGUCGGAGUACAGAGCGUCGGCAAACAGUGGCAGGGGAGAAAGCAUUAUAUAGUAGUAGUACCAAAGGGCAUAGGAAAGAACUGCCACAUUACCAGCCAUGAAUGCCAUGAUUGCGUGGUUCAAGAGAGAAAGAAGCAGUUUCUAGCAGAGGAGGCGUCCGCCAUUAUCGCCCUCGCACCCACCUUUCUUCACCCGCGCGCCUCCUCUAAUCCCUCGCGCACCUCGCAUCCAACCGCGUGCUGGAGCCCAUCGGCUGGAGCCGGAUCCCGCUCCUCCAGUCCAUCCCAGCGCGCCCAUGGACUUGCCUCCGACCCUCACCUCCGGUGGAUCGAAUCGACCGACGCACAUCGGCUGCUCCUGUGCGCGCCUCGCAGCGGUCGAUCCCAGCCCGCCCAUCGAGUUACCUCGAUCCCGCACCUCCGGUGGAUUGAAUCGACG